AUUGAACGCUGGCGGCAGGCCUAACACAUGCAAGUCGAACGGUAACAGGAAGCAGCUUGCUGCUUCGCUGACGAGUGGCGGACGGGGUGAGUAAUGUCUGGGAAGCUGCCUGAUGGAGGGGGAUAACUACUGGAAACGGUAGCUAAUACCGCAUAAUGUCGCAAGACCAAAAGAGGGGGACCUUUCGGGCCUCUUGCCAUCGGAUGUGCCCAGAUGGGAUUAGCUUGUUGGUGGGGUUAAACGGCUCACCCAAAGGCGACGAUCCCUAGCUGGUCUGAGAGGAUGACCAGCCACACUGGAACUGAGACACGGUCCAGACUCCUACGGAGGCCAGCAGUGGGGGAAUAUUGGCACAAAUGGGGCGCAACGCCUAGAUGUCAGCCAUGCCGCGUGUA
rnacentral:rRNA from 1 species